rnacentral:rRNA from 2 species
UUUAUGGAGAGUUUGAUCCUGGCUCAGGAUGAACGCUGGCGGCGUGCCUAAUACAUGCAAGUCGAGCGAACGGACGAGAAGCUUGCUUCUCUGAUGUUAGCGGCGGACGGGUGAGUAACACGUGGAUAACCUACCUAUAAGACUGGGAUAACUUCGGGAAACCGGAGCUAAUACCGGAUAAUAUUUUGAACCGCAUGGUUCAAAAGUGAAAGACGGUCUUGCUGUCACUUAUAGAUGGAUCCGCGCUGCAUUAGCUAGUUGGUAAGGUAACGGCUUACCAAGGCAACGAUGCAUAGCCGACCUGAGAGGGUGAUCGGCCACACUGGAACUGAGACACGGUCCAGACUCCUACGGGAGGCAGCAGUAGGGAAUCUUCCGCAAUGGGCGAAAGCCUGACGGAGCAACGCCGCGUGAGUGAUGAAGGUCUUCGGAUCGUAAAACUCUGUUAUUAGGGAAGAACAUAUGUGUAAGUAACUGUGCACAUCUUGACGGUACCUAAUCAGAAAGCCACGGCUAACUACGUGCCAGCAGCCGCGGUAAUACGUAGGUGGCAAGCGUUAUCCGGAAUUAUUGGGCGUAAAGCGCGCGUAGGCGGUUUUUUAAGUCUGAUGUGAAAGCCCACGGCUCAACCGUGGAGGGUCAUUGGAAACUGGAAAACUUGAGUGCAGAAGAGGAAAGUGGAAUUCCAUGUGUAGCGGUGAAAUGCGCAGAGAUAUGGAGGAACACCAGUGGCGAAGGCGACUUUCUGGUCUGUAACUGACGCUGAUGUGCGAAAGCGUGGGGAUCAAACAGGAUUAGAUACCCUGGUAGUCCACGCCGUAAACGAUGAGUGCUAAGUGUUAGGGGGUUUCCGCCCCUUAGUGCUGCAGCUAACGCAUUAAGCACUCCGCCUGGGGAGUACGACCGCAAGGUUGAAACUCAAAGGAAUUGACGGGGACCCGCACAAGCGG